rnacentral:rRNA from 1 species
AUGGAGUUUCGUCGGCGUUCCACCCGGCUGCGACGACCGGACCGCAUCAGGGCCCUCCUCGAUGACCUGAUCCUCCUUGUCCUCGCCCGCCUCCGCUGCGCCCAGGCCGGCGCGCGCACUGGCCUCAUCUCGCGCCAGUGGCGCGGCCUCGCAGCCCGCCUCCGCGAUAUCGUCUUCCGCGGCGUCGCCCUCCACAGGCUCGAAGCCGCGCUCAGCCGCCUAUCUCCCGCGGUUUCCCUCCUCGAGAUCCGCAUCCCCAAGGAGCGUCGCGCCGGCGCCGCCCGCGGCAACUCACUUCUCCGCGUCGGCACCGCCCGCGUCAACUCGCAGCUCCGCGCUGCCGCGCGGCUCGAGCCGGAGGAGCUCGUCUUCGACCUCCCCUUCGAUCUGGUCGACGGCUCCCUCGUCGUCGACCUGCCCUGCCUGUGCCACGCCACCUCCUCCUCAUCCUCCGCGUGCCCGACGACGUCGAAUUCCCGGUGCUGGAGGCGCUGUCCCUUUCGUGUGGCGCUGGAGACGCCUCUCCUGUGA